rnacentral:rRNA from 1 species
UGGAGCUGAAAUCAGUCGAAGAUACCAGCUGGCUGCAACUGUUUAUUAAAAACACAGCACUGUGCAAACACGAAAGUGGACGUAUACGGUGUGACGCCUGCCCGGUGCCGGAAGGUUAAUUGAUGGGGUCAGCGCAAGCGAAGCUCUUGAUCGAAGCCCCGGUAAACGGCGGCCGUAACUAUAACGGUCCUAAGGUAGCGAAAUUCCUUGUCGGGUAAGUUCCGACCUGCACGAAUGGCGUAAUGAUGGCCAGGCUGUCUCCACCCGAGACUCAGUGAAAUUGAACUCGCUGUGAAGAUGCAGUGUACCCGCGGCAAGACGGAAAGACCCCGUGAACCUUUACUAUAGCUUGACACUGAACACUGGUCCUUGAUGUGUAGGAUAGGUGGGAGGCUUUGAAGUGUGGACGCCAGUCUGCAUGGAGCCGUCCUUGAAAUACCACCCUUUAAUGGCUGGUGUUCUAACGUUGGCCCCUUACCGGGGUUGCGGACAGUGUCUGGUGGGUAGUUUGACUGGGGCGGUCUCCUCCUAAAGAGUAACGGAGGAGCACGAAGGUUGGCUAAUCCUGGUCGGACAUCAGGAGGUUAGUGCAAUGGCAUAAGCCAGCUUGACUGCGAGCGUGACGGCGCGAGCAGGUGCGAAAGCAGGUCAUAGUGAUCCGGUGGUUCUGAAUGGAAGGGCCAUCGCUCAACGGAUAAAAGGUACUCCGGGGAUAACAGGCUGAUACCGCCCAAGAGUUCAUAUCGACGGCGGUGUUUGGCACCUCGAUGUCGGCUCAUCACAUCCUGGGGCUGAAGUAGGUCCCAAGGGUAUGGCUGUUCGCCAUUUAAAGUGGUACGCGAGCUGGGUUUAGAACGUCGUGAGACAGUUCGGUCCCUAUCUGCCGUGGGCGCUGGAGAACUGAGGGGGGCUGCUCCUAGUACGAGAGGACCGGAGUGGACGCAUCACUGGUGUUCGGGUUGUCAUGCCAAUGGCACUGCCCGGUAGCUAAAUGCGGAAGAGAUAAGUGCUGAAAGCAUCUAAGCACGAAACUUGCCCCGAGAUGAGUUCUCCCUGAGACCUGGAGUCUCCUGAAGGAACGUUGAAGACGACGACGUUGAUAGGCCGGGUGUGUAAGCGCAGCGAUGCGUUGAGCUAACCGGUACUAAUGAACCGUGAGGCUUAACCUUACAAC